rnacentral:rRNA from 1 species
GAACGUCCUCCCUUUCUAAGGAGAGGCAUGGAGUGGCGGACGGGUGAGUAACCAUGGGUACCUGCCUCCCACGUGAGGAAUACCUUCGUGGAAACCGGGGACAAGACCGCAUAUCCUCCCUUCGCAAGAGGGAGGAAAGCUCUUCUUCGGAUGGGCGCUGGGAGAGGGGCCUGUGGCCGAUUAGCUAGCUGGUGGGGUAACGGCUCACCAGUGCCAUGAUCGGUAUCUGGUCUGAGAUGACGAGCAUCCUCUCUGGGAUUGAGAACGGCCCAGACUCCUACGGGGGGCAUCAGUGAUGAAUUUUCCGCAAUGGGCGCAAGCCUGACGGAUCAACGCCGCGUGCAGGAGGACGGCCUUCGGGUUGUAAACUGCUUUUCUUCCCGACGAUAAUGGACUGUAUGGAAGGAAUAAGCCCCGGCUAACUACGUGCCAUCAGCCGCGGUAAU